UGUCGUCAGCUCGUGUUGUGAAAUGUUGGGUUAAGUCCCGCAACGAGCGCAACCCUUAUCCUUUGUUGCCAGCGGUCCGGCCGGGAACUCAAAGGAGACUGCCAGUGAUAAACUGGAGGAAGGUGGGGAUGACGUCAAGUCAUCAUGGCCCUUACGACCAGGGCUACACACGUGCUACAAUGGCGCAUACAAAGAGAAGCGACCUCGCGAGAGCAAGCGGACCUCAUAAAGUGCGUCGUAGUCCGGAUUGGAGUCUGCAACUCGACUCCAUGAAGUCGGAAUCGCUAGUAAUCGUGGAUCAGAAUGCCACGGUGAAUACGUUCCCGGGCCUUGUACACACCGCCCGUCACACCAUGGGAGUGAGUUGCAAAAGAAGUAGGUAGCUUAACCUUCGGGAGGGCGCUUACCACUUUGUGAUUCAUGACUGGGGUGAAGUCGUAA
rnacentral:rRNA from 1 species